CCUACCGCGCUUCCAGCUGAUCUGAGGAGCGCCACUAAGAACCAAGGAAUCUUAGAAAUCCUCAAGUGCAACGUCUAAAAAGCGGGGAAAAUUACUUUGUUGAACGAAAGGACGUUAUCUCCACACGUAACGGAACUCACCUUCGAAGAUUAAAGACACGGGAUUAGAUGUAAAACACAAACAAAAAACAAUACUUUAAACAACAGCAAAAAAAGGGCAUAACAAAAAAAAACUAUCAACAGCAAAGGGGACAAUCUUCCACAGAGGUUUGUUUACGCCUAAGAACCCCUGUCCUCCACACCGUAAAGACAAAAGAGAAGAAAUUAUUUCCUCUAAAGACAGGCCAAAGAGCUCAAGUGAAAAGCUAAAUCUCCGACCACCCUUUCUGUGGCGCUGCGGGAAAAAUUCUGCAACGAAGCUGAAAGAACUGGUCACAAGGGUCCCAUCUCAUUACGCUGUGAGAAGAAAGUCUUCAUCAACGUAGGAGAGAGAAGGAAGACAAAGAGAA